rnacentral:tRNA from 1 species
GAGGUUAUAGCUCAACUGGUAAAGCACAUGCUUAGCAUGCAGGAGGUUCUGGGUUCAAUCCCCAGUACUUCCU